rnacentral:rRNA from 1 species
ACAUGCAAGUCGAGCGGCAGCGACAUAAACAAUCCUUCGGGUGCGCUUAUGGGCGGCGAGCGGCGGACGGGUGAGUAAUGCCUGGGAAUAUGCCCUGAUGGGGGGGAUAACCAUUGGAAACGAUGGCUAAUACCGCAUAAUCUCUUCGGAGCAAAGAGGGGGACCUUCGGGCCUCUCGCGUCAGGAUUAGCCCAGAGAUUAGCUAGUUGGUGAGGUAAGAGCUCACCAGACGAUCUCUAGCUGGUCUGAGAGGAUGAUCAGCCACACUGGAACUGAGACACGGUCCAGACUCCUACGGGAGGCAGCAGUGGGGAAUAUGCACAAUGGGGGAAACCCUGAUGCAGCCAUGCCGCGUGUGUGAAGAAGGCCUUCGGGUUGUAAAGCACUUUCAGUUGUGAGGAAGGCAUACGUUAAUAGCGUGUGUGUUUGACGUUAGCAACAGACACCGGCUAACUCCGUGAGCAGCCGCGGUAAUACGAGGGUGCGAGCGUUAAUCACUGGGCGUAAAGCGCAUGCAGGCGGCUUGUUAAGCCAGAUGUGAAAGCCCGGGAACCUCGGAAUAGGGAACUGGCAGGCUAGAGUCUUGUAGAGGGGGGUAGAAUUUCAGGUGUAGCGGUGAAAUGCGUAGAGAUCUGAAGGAAUACCGGUGGCGAAGGCGGCCCCCUGGACAAAGACUGACGCUCAGAUGCGAAAGCGUGGGGAGCAAACAGGAUUAUACCCUGGUAGUCCACGCCGUAAACGAUGUCUACUUGGAGGUUGGAACUUCUGGCUUUCGGAGCUAACGCAUUAAGUAGACCGCCUGGGGGAGUACGGUCGCAAGAUAAA